rnacentral:rRNA from 1 species
GACGAACGCUGGCGGCGUGCCUAAUACAUGCAAGUUGAGCGCUGAAGGUUGGUACUUGUACCAACUGUGUGAGCAGCGAACGGGUGAGUAACGCGUGGGGAAUCUGCCUUUGAGCGGGGGACAACAUUUGGAAACGAAUGCUAAUACCGCAUAAAAACUUUAAACACAAGUUUUAAGUUUGAAAGAUGCAAUUGCAUCACUCAAUGAUUAUCCCGCGUUGUAUUAGCUAGUUGGUGAGGUAAAGGCUCACCAAGGCGAUGAUACAUAGCCGACCUGAGAGGGUGAUCGGCCAAAAUGGGACUGAGACACGGCCCAAACUCCUAAGGGAGGCAGCAGUAGGGAAUCUUCGGCAAUGGACGAAAGUCUGAACGAGCAACGCCGCGUGAGUGAAGAAGGGUUUCGGAUCGGAAAACUCUGUUGGUAGAGAAGAACGUUGGUGAGAGUGGAAAGCGCAUCAAGUGACGGUAACUACCCAGAAAGGGACGGCUAACUACGUG